rnacentral:rRNA from 1 species
GCGUGGCAACCUACCUUUCAGUAAGGGACAACAGUUGGAAACGACUGCUAAUACCUUAUACGUCCUCCGGGAGAAAGAUUUAUCGCUGAUAGAUGGGGCCGCGUUAGAUUAGCUUGUUGGUGAGGUAAUGGCUCACCAAGGCGACGAUCUAUAGCUGGUCUGAGAGGAUGAUCAGCCACACUGGGACUGAGACACGGCCCAGACUCCUACGGGAGGCAGCAGUGGGGAACUAUUGGACAAUGGGCGAAAGCCUGAUCCAGCAACGCCGCGUGAAUGAUGAAGGCCUUAGGGUUGUAAAAU